UACGGAGGGAGCUAGCGUUGUUCGGAAUUACUGGGCGUAAAGCGUGCGCAGGCGGUUGUGCAAGACAGAUGUGAAAUCCCCGGGCUUAACCUGGGAACUGCAUUUGUGACUGCACGGCUAGAGUGUGUCAGAGGGGGGUAGAAUUCCACGUGUAGCAGUGAAAUGCGUAGAUAUGUGGAGGAAUACCGAUGGCGAAGGCAGCCCCCUGGGAUAACACUGACGCUCAUGCACGAAAGCGUGGGGAGCAAACAGG
rnacentral:rRNA from 1 species